rnacentral:rRNA from 1 species
AUGGCGGCCGCCGUCGGGGACGACCUCUUCCUCGACCGCCUCAGCGAUCUCCCGGACAUCAUCCUGGUGACCAUCCUCUCCCGCCUCGACAUGGACGAAGCGGCGAGGUGUUCAAUCCUCAGCUCUCGCUGGCGCCGCCUCUUCCCAUCCACCCUCCUCGAUUUCAAGGCCGGCGGUAUUCGCCGCGACAGGGCCGUCGAGGCCGUCACCUCCAUCCUCGCCGCCCACCCCACCGAGCCCGUGCGCUCAUUCAGCACGUACAGGCUCUCCUUCCGCCGCCAGGACGAGGACGCCGUUGACGGCUGGCUCCGGGAUCUGGCCAACCGCGGCAUCGAAAAACUCGUCCUCUACUUCAACGAGAAGCGCCAGCAGAAGGUCCCGGAAUCCCUCUUCGCCUGCGCGUCCCUGAAGCGCCUCAAGGUGAUUAACGGCACCUUCCCUGACGCCACCGAGGCCGCCGCAUCCCUCGCCGUCCUCGCCAAGAUCGACCUGUCCGACGUCAAGAUCUCCGAGGACUCGCUGAACUCCCUGCUCUCGAACUGCAGGGCGCUGGAGCGCCUGAAGAUCACUUCCAUCAGCAAGUGCGACCGCCUCCAUGUCCGGUCUAGGAGCCUCAAGGUCCUGAACACCAGUGGCGACUUCAAGGAGCUCUUCAUUGACGACGCUCCCAACCUGGAGCAGGUGCUCGGCUGCUACCUGAACAGCAGGUCGGUCAAAAUCAUGAUCGCGCACGCUCCAAAGCUGGAGUUCUUUGGCUACACCGGCAUGAACAACGAGAUUGAGUUUGGAAACACCAAGUUCACCAAGUUCAGGGAAAAGAAUAUUCAUGCUGAGACCAUUAUGCCAAGCCUCAAGACACUAGCGGUCGACCUGAUGCACACGCCGGACGGACACAUCAACGAACAUUACAUCAACUGGUUUAUGCAGCUGAUCAAGGUGUUCCCUUGCUUGGAGACGAUCUACAUCAAGUCGGACUCUUGGUCCGAGGCUCGUGACAGCUCCCCGGGGUCGUGGGACGUCCUAGCAUCCGUUCCUUGCAUGGACAACCACCUCGAGAAGGUGGUGUUCGAAGUUUACCGAGGACAGGAAUGGCAGAGGGACAUGGCCAAGUUCCUUCACGGGAGGAGCAGGUUCCUCAAGACCAUGGAGUUCCACUGCAUGGACGAUACUUCAAGAGAGGAUUAUGGCAGGGCUCCUACUGAAGAAUGGGUGAGGAAGCAGCAGGAGCUCUUGUGCCUCGACAGCCGGGCCUCGAGAGAUGCUCGUUUCCUCUUUUUCAAGAGUCAGCUGGUGGUCAACCAUCAUGAGUUCAGCCAUAACGAGUCGUACCAGAGGGGUUAUUAUCGUGACAUGUAUAACCUUUAA